AGGGGUUUUGAUCAUGGCUCAGAACGAACGCUGGCGGCGUGGAUUAGGCAUGCAAGUCGAACGAUAACCUUGGCAAUUGAUUCUUCGGAAAAUUUUUCCUUGGGGACAGUGGCGAACGGGUGAGUAACGCGUGGGCAAUUUACCCUUAAGUUGGGGAUAGCCCUUCGAAAGGAGGGGUAAUACCGAAUGUGGUCGUUCCUCGCAUGAGGAACUGUCUAAAGGUGGGGAUCCUUCGGGACCUACCGCUUAGGGAUGAGCCCGCGUACUAUCAGCUUGUUGGUGGGGUAACGGCUCACCAAGGCUUAGACGGUUAGCUGGUCUGAGAGGAUGGUCAGCCACACUGGGACUGAGACACUGCCCAGACUCCUACGGGAGGCUGCAGUCGAGAAUCAUUGUCAAUGCGCGAAAGCGUGAACAUGCGACGCCGCGUGGAGGAUGAAGGCCUUCGGGUUGUAAACUCCUGUCAGGGGGGAAAAACGAUUUCGGAGUGAUAAGCUUCGAGAUGUGAUGGUACCUCCAAAGGAAGCCACGGCUAACUCUGUGCCAGCAGCCGCGGUAAUACAGAGGUGGCAAGCGUUGUUCGGAUUUACUGGGCGUAAAGGGUGCGUAGGCGGCCCUGUGUGUCGGCUGUGAAAGCCCACGGCUCAACCGUGGAAAGGCAUCCGAAACUGCAGGGCUAGAGUACUGGAGAGGAGAGCGGAAUUCUCGGUGUACGGUGAAAUGCGUAGAUAUCGAGAAGAACGCCGGUGG
rnacentral:rRNA from 1 species